UGUCACUUCCUUCGCUGUGGUUUUGUGGCUCGGUGGCGAGGCGGUUCAGGCGAAUCGCGCGAUUUAGAAUGCGGACGUCUAUUAAAAUUCAUAGAUGUCUGUUCGAGGCCUUUUUCGGCCCUGCAACAGUUUAAAAUGGAGAACGCUCAACGCCUGUUUACCACCUGUCUCCAACGCAUAAUGCACUACUUUGGCAACGUUGCCCGCAGAGGUGUAGAUAACUUGGAACGUCUGAUGGUCACUGGAAAACUCGAAGGAAAACGUCGUAGAAGCCGGAGCCCCAAACGUUGGUCCGACCAGAUCUCCGAGAAAACCAGCGGACCACAUAGCGCUGCACUACACUAAGCAACUUACCGGAACCGAUGGAGGCUGGCAGUCGACAAGCUGAAACGGAGUCACGAUCCUCAGUAAUGAGGGAGCGAUGGAGAAGAAGAAGUAUUGACUAGGUGCAAAUAUGCGUCAUUAAAUCUGCCUUAUAGCUUCAGAUAGGAGGUCAAUGCUUCGAUUGUGUUGCAAGGACUGUCUCACCCUUCAAGCCUGAAUGCAUUUUUAUUUUAUUUUAUUUAUUUUAUUAGGCUCACAAUACACAUCACAAGCUAAAGAUACAUAAAAAACACAAAUAAAAAGAAACAAAAUCUGGCUUGCAACAUAAGUUAUUUGCGCACGACAAAACAAGACAUAUAGUGCUGAAUUUGUAUAACAAUGUUCCUUACAAUUAUGACAAAACAACACAAUAACAAAAACUAAUCUAACGAAUAAUGUAAGGAAAAAAAAUUAUUCACAAUAUAAUACAUUAAACAAUUACAUUAACCUACCUAUUAAUAAAGUGGAGGAUGCCCUUGAACAUUUUUCUAAACGUAACCAACCUACAAGUAAAAAUAUCUAACUCAGGUGACGACCUUGCCAGUUCGUUAUAGGUACGACACAUUCACAUUGUUUCAAAUACCAAACAUGCAGAACGGUAAUGCCUAGUUGUACAUAAUACAGUGUGUUUAGUGCGAGUUUUUUAACGUUUGCCGUUAGGGGCGCUGUUCCAACUGCAUACAAAUUUGAGUUAACUUUUACGCUAUCGAGAACGUUAAAAAACUCGCAUUACUAAGCACAGAAAGUUUUGUAGAGCCCACGUAUGUAAAGUCCUAUGUCCACUGCUUAUAGGGUAUGAAUCUUGCUUAAAAUAUCCAGAAAUAUAUCAGUUAUUCGUCGAACUCAACCGAAAACUUUCGGACGUGACCCGAACGUGGAACUUUUCUAAUAUAACUAAAAAUGGAUUUCUGAACUUUAGAAUUUUUCGGGAGAAUGUUGUUCAUUUCCGUAAACGGUUUUGUUUAUGUCUUUUUUUUUAUUGCUUAUAUUGAUGGACGAGCUGACAGCCCACCUGGUGUUAAGUGGUUACUGGAGUACAUAGAUAUCUACGACGUAAAUGCGCCACCCACCUUGAGAUAUAAGUUCUAAAGUCUCAGUACAGUUACAACGGCUGCCCCACCCUUCAAACCAAAACGCAUUACUGCUUCACGGCAGAAAUAGGCAGGGUGGUGGUACCUACCCGCGCGGACUCAUAAGAGGUUCUACCACCAGAAAAAAAUAACCAUCCCGGUUUAGUAAAUAUUUAGUAGUUAAAUGGAGGCUGCAUACUGGCCUGUAUAGUGGCAGAUAUUUUUCUGAAUAUAUCUGUCUGAGCCUCCACAGCUCGAUAUUAGUGCACCAGGCCACAUGCCCCCCGGAAUUAAGGACCACGACAAUCAAAUUUAUCAACAUAAAAACUUGCAAACUUUAUCAAUCAAAUUGCUGUUUCAUUCAAAUCAUUGAAUCGCUUCUAAAGUAUUUUAAAAUGUAAUUCGAUGAAUAAUCUCAUUUCACAGUCGCAAAAUGUACGGAAUCAUUCGUAAAGUAUUAUAACUCAACGAAAAAAGGCAAAAAGAUUUGAAAACUUUUGUUUCUUUGCCAACUUCGUUAAAGAAAUAUUUCAAUUAUACUUUUUAACUUACUUUCUUGUAUUAUUUCUGCAUCAAGAAACAUAAGUAUCCAAAGUCAGAGUUCAUAAGAGCAUUUUAUUAAAGUAAGUUUUCGAGUUUCAAAUUAUAUUUGUAUCUAAGAACGGUUUUAUCUUAAUCCUCCAAAUGUAAUAAUAACUUGUGAGUGUUAUCUGACAUUUUUGACUUUUAUUCUUUGUAACUGAUUUAUUUGUUUUGUCAUAAAAUCGAUUAAUAAAAUCGAUAACUCAGGAUGCUUUAGAGUGCAUUGGUUGGAUGAUAUCAUAGAAGGAGAUAUCACAGUAAGCACAAUGACACAUGAGGUUUAAGUUACAACAACGUGUGAUCAGAAGACAAGCCAUAUAGUCCACGCUGCAAUACAAAUUUUUUCAUCAGCAAUCUUUUUCCUACCUAUGCUGAUAGCCUCAAGAGGCUAUUUCAGCUUCCCCCUAACGUUUGUAGGUGAGCUCACGGGGCUCAAACCGGAGAGUUACUAACACUGACCCUAGCAAGAGCAGUGCUCCGCAGAAUCUACCACCGGAUCGGAAACGCGACCCACUGAGAAGAUCUGGCGAGAAACUCAGUGGGCUGUGUCUAUGGGUUAGUUUGCUCGUCGAGCCCUUCGUCGCAAGCGACGGGUUCGACGAGGACGGUGACCGGUGCUGCACCUGACUACAACUCUUGUAGGAAAUAUAAAGCCUUCCUUAGUUUGUUUAAUGUCGGCAAAUAGCUCCGUGGAUAGGUUCACGGCUCAGUGGUGUUAAGUGGAUACCAUAGGCCAUAGACAUUGCAAAAUGAAUCGUGCCACUCAUCUGGAGAUACGAGUUCGAAGAUUCAAAUUUUUUUUUAAGCGAAAACUUCUUUAGCGUCGCUGUGAUUCGAAAGUCGAUGAAACGAAAAAGCGACAAUAAAAAGAGACAGACACAUAAAUUCACUAGGUUUAACGUGGAAGAAAAUGAGAUAGUUAGUAUUAUACAGUGUUUUUUAUAUUCGUGGUUCUCUUUGUGCUCUGUUUCUUACCUAAUACAUUUUGAAUAUAUACGAAUAAAAUGUAAAAUAAUUAUCAA